rnacentral:rRNA from 1 species
GACGAACGCUGGCGGCGUGCUUAACACAUGCAAGUCGAACGGAAAGGCCCUGCUUUUGUGGGGUGCUCGAGUGGCGAACGGGUGAGGAACACGUGAGUAACCUGCCCUUGACUUUGGGAUAACUUCAGGAAACUGGGGCUAAUACCGGAUAGGAGCUCCUGCUGCAUGGUGGGGGUUGGAAAUUUUCGGCGGUUGGGGAUGGACUCGCGGCUUACCAGCUUGUUGGUUGGGUAGUUGCUUACCAAGGCUUUGACGGGUAGCCGGCCUGAGAGGGUGACCGGCCACAUUGGGACUGAGAUACGGCCCAGACUCCUACGGGAGGCAGCAGUGGGGAAUAUUGCACAAUGGGAGGAAGCCUGAUGAAGCAACGCCGCGUGCGGGAUGACGGCCUUCGGGUUGUAAACCGCUUUCGCCUGUGACGAAGCGUGAGUGACGGUAAUGGGUAAAGAAGCACCGGCUAACUACGUG